rnacentral:rRNA from 3 species
UGUACAACUUUAAGCGGUGGAUCACUCGGCUCGUGUGUCGAUGAAGAGUGCAGCCAACUGUGUGAAUUAAUGUGAACUGCAUACUGCUUUGAACAUCGACCUCUUGAACGCAUAUUGCGGCCACGGGAUAUCCUGUGGCCACGCCUGGCCGAGGGUCGGCU